CUCUCGGCGGCUGCCUAGUGAAAGCAGCAGGUCGCCGCCUCCUCGUCACAGCAGGUGCACCAAACCCCUCGUAGUGCUCCUCCCCCAAUCCUCUUCAUCCUCACGCUGCAGCCACCGUCCUUGUCGUCCGCCCCCUCCCCUCCCGGCGGCACUUCUUGAUGUGCUUCGCUUCCAAUCUCCUUCUCGAGCAGGGCAACCACAAGGUGGGGGCGGCGGUUCCCGGCAUUAGCCGCAACUCUCGUCGUCGAGCACGGAUGCAGUAGUAGCAACAACUACGCAGAUGCGGUCAAUGGCGAGGCGGUGGAGAAGGAGGUCGGAUCUCCCUUCCGCUCCAGCCACUCUCCUCUCUCUCCCAGAAACGACACCCCUGACAGGAAACCCUAGCGGUGGUAACGAGCACCUUGCGGACGGGGGAGGAAGAAACAAGAAGGCCAUGGAAACAAUGGACACAGUAAUGUCAUGUCUAGAUUCCUUUCUAUUAUCGGUAAUUGAGGGACAAGAACUGCAAAAAAGAAUGUUUAGGAAAUGAUAUUAUCUUCGGUCUAAGACAAGAGCACCUUGCGGACGGGGGAGGAAGAAACAAGAAGGCCAUGGAAACAAUGGACACAGUAAUGUCAUGUCUAGAUUCCUUUCUAUUAUCGGUAAUUGAGGUGAUCUGCUUAUAUUGGAUGGCAAAUAUUUCUGAAAGAAUUUAUUUCCAUCGUAUUUGUCAUCUCCUAAUUGCCAUUACUUUAAUCAACAAAGGGACAAGAACUGCAAAAAAGAAUGUUUAGGAAAUGAUAUUAUCUUCGGUCUAAGAAUAUUUCAAUCUACAAAUCUCAACAAUCUGCCCAAGCUCAUGCAGCUCUAAAUUGUAACGAAUGGCCUGAUAAUUAUAUUAUCUCUCUUGAUUUGGAGGCGUUAUUUA